UCAAUGUAUCUAUGAAUAUUUUCCAUGUUUUUUGUUAAAAAAAGGUGACAUAACCUCAAAGUGAAUUAUAGUGAGUUUUGGAAUAUGUGUUAAACUUUGUGCAUAAGGUUUUUUUCAGCAGAGACAGACUUAUAUAGAUAUUUACCUUAUUGUUACUUGAAGACUUGCAUGGGGUGAAUAGCUACAGAGGUAAAUAUUUACAAUCGCGGUAGAUGCCAAAAAAAAUGCUAAAAAUCUGAAAAUACUUUUAUUCUGUGCCCUUUCACUUCCUCUUUUCAAAACAACCGGCGGAGGUAAGAAAUUCCAAAUACUUUAGGAGAUAUCGAAUUUUUUAAUUUCAUCAUAUGUAGAGUCGCUGUAUAUGCCAAAAAAAAUGCUAAACAUCUGAAAAUACCUUUAUUAUAUGCUCUUCAACUUCCUCUUUUCAUUAAAAGCGGCGGAGAUUAGAAAUUCCAAAUACUUUAGGAGAUAUCGAAUUUUUAAAUUUCAGCACAAAACCAGCGCAUUCCUGUGGCGUGCGUGCACCAUUGUUUCUUGUUUACGUACGAGUAUCUAUUUUUUUAUUGGAUAAUGAUGUCACGUGAUUGUUCGUGAUAGGCCAGAAUUCAAAUGAACUAAUACGUGAUUAUUUAGUUCAAUUAUUGUUUAAAACGGUGUUUAAUUACCGCCUCCAACUUACGUGAGUUUUUAACGUUUCUAAUUUUAAAGUCUUAUUUGUUAUUUUGAUAUUGUUGCGCAAGUAAUAAGUAACAAAAAAAUUUACGUGAGUUGUUACUGUACAUCCUUUGUUACGGGUUUGUUAUGUAAGGUCAGUUACAUUAUAAAUAAUUUAAAACUAAAGAAUAAUUAAAAUUAAUUCACAUUAUUUUUAAUAUCACCUUAGUUUUAAAGUAUUUAUAAUAUAACUGACCUGACCUAAUCGACCAUUUUAGUUUACUGUUCACCCUCUGUCCGGGUUUGUUUGGUCAGGUCAGUUACAUUAUAAAUAUUUUAAAACUAAACAUCCAUUAAAAUUAAUUCACAAAAUAAUUUUUAAUGUCGGCUAAGUUUGAAAGUAUUAAUAAUGUAACUGACCUGACCUAAUCAACCAUUUUAUUAAUUACGCAUUCACGAUUCACGUAUUCACGAACACAUGGCAAAAUAACAAAAAUGGCGCCGCUCGAAUGGUUCCACAGGUCUUGUAUUGCAAAAUUAAAAAAUUCGAUAUCUCCUAAAGUAUUUGGAAUUUCUUAUCUCCGCCGCUUUUAAUGAAAAGAGGAAGUUGAAGAGCAUAUGAUAAAGGUAUUUUAGGAUUUUUUACAUUUUUUUGGCAUCUACCGCGACUCUACAUAUCAUGAAAUUAAAAAAUUCGAUAUCUCCUAAAGUAUUUGGAAUUUCUUAUCUCCGCCGGUUGAUUUGAAAAGAGGAAGUGAAAGAGCAUAGAAUAAAAGUAUUUUCGGAUUUUUAGCAUUUUUUUUGGUAUCUACAGCGAUUGUAAAUAUUUACCGCUACAGACAAUGCCUAGAAAAUAUAAACCAAAUCACGCGGAAAGCAGUACAGGCCACUGAACAAAGAUGUUCUUCAGCAAGCAAUUGAUGCAGUUCAGAAGGGGCUUAGUUUAAGGGAGGCAGGAAGACAAUUUGACAUUCAUUUCACCAUAUUCGGCAGGUUAUAAGGAAAAAAAAAAAAAUCAAAGAAGGUGGACAAACAGUUCUCUCAUAAGAAGAUGAAGAUAUAAUAGUGGACAGGAUUUUUAUAUGUGCAAAAUGGGGAUACCCUAUUGAUCUUUUUGACCUAAGAGUUAUUGUCAAAGGCUAUUUGGACAGACUGGGACGAACAGUACCAAAAUUUAAGAACAGUAUGACUGGCCCAGAUUUUGCUGUAGGUUUUUGUCAAAAGGCAUAAAGAUAUCUUCACACCUAGAACAUGCCAAAACAUUAAGCGGUCACGAGCAGCCACAUCUCUUGAAGUUAUAAAUACAUAUUUCAAUCACCUGGAAAAAUCCCUGGAGAAUGUGUCACCAGCAAACAUAGUAAAUUUCGAUGAAACAAAUUUGAGUGAUGACCCAGGAAAGAAAACUAUCAUCACUAAGCGAAGCUGCAAAUAUCCCGAACGAGUGAUGAACUCAACAAAAUCAUCCACAUCUAUAAUGUUUGCAGCCUCGGGAGAUGGGGUACUUCUCCCAUGUUAUGUGGUAUAUAGAGCAUUGAAUUUAUACUCAUUGUGGGCAGGAGGAGGACCAAAAGGAAUCAGGUAUAACUGAACGGCAUCAGGUUGGUUUGAUGGCACAACUUUUGAUGAUUGGGUGGCUACAAUUGCGGUCCCUUAUUUGAAGAAAUUAAAUGGAAAGAAAAUCCUUAUAGGGGACAAUUUGUCAUGUCAUCUAUCUGUCGAUUAAUUCAAACUGUGUAGAGACAAUACCUAAUAUUGAUUUUGUUUUACUUCUUCCGAACUCCACACAUUUAACACUGCCCCUUGAUGUUGCGUUCUUGACACACACACAAAAUGUGCAGAAUUACCAAACUUUAAACAUUGAAAUAAAUUUUUUUUAUAGUU